rnacentral:tRNA from 1 species
GCAGUCGUGGCCGAGUGGUUAAGCCGAUGGACUCGAAAUCCAUUGGGGUCACGCCGCGCAGGUUCGGAUCCUGCCGGCUGCG